rnacentral:lncRNA from 1 species
UCCCAUCAGAUAUAUUUGAUUUCAUCGAAUAUACUCAGAUUAGGAUUAGAAAAAUCAAGAUGCGACUUGAUUCUCUUAUGAUUGCAGGUUACAGAUUGAGUUUGAACUUGAUUAACAAUGAUAGAAGAUAUAAUUAUUUUUAUAUUUAAGAUUAUGAAAAAUUUUAUAUAUCAUAUUUUAUAUUUAUUUUGAUAUAUUAUUUAUUGAUAAAUAGAAGGAAGAGCAAAAGGGCCUCC